GCAAGUCGAGCGCACCUUCGGGUGAGCGGCGUACGGGUUAGUAACGCGUGGGAACAUACCCUUCUCUAAGGAAUAGUCUCGGGAAACUGGGGGUAAUACCUUAUAAGCCUUUCGGGGGAAAGAUGUAUCGGUGAAGGAUGGGCCUGCGUAAGAUUAGAUAGUUGGUGGGGUAAUGGCCUACCAAGUCUACGAUCUUUAGCUGGUCUGAGAGGAUGAUC
rnacentral:rRNA from 1 species